ensembl:snRNA U6 U6 spliceosomal RNA
GUGCUUGCUUCAGCAGCACAUAUGCUAAAACUGGAAUAAUGCAGAGAAGAUGCACAUGGCCCCUUGUGCAAGGAUGACAUGCAAAUUCGUGAAGCAUUCCAUAUUUUU